UGAGGCACUGCCACUGGAACACAAGGCAUUUGAUUGUAGUCUCCUGCCCUUCACUAGAGUCAACCAUAGCAAAUGAGAUGACCAAAAUGUCCUUUGGAUACUCCGAACUGUGAUGCAGACAUCAAGGCUCAGAGAAGUCAAGGACAUCAUUCAAAUGUGCACAGGCCCUGGCAACCACUCCCCCACUUCUUGUCUCUAUGGAUUUGCCUCUUCUGGACAUUUCAUAUCAAUGGACUCACACGAUACGCAGCCUUCUACGUCUGGCUCCUUUCCAUAGCACAGUGCUCUCAAGGUUCAUCCAUACCAUAGUUCCUUGUUCCUUGGUACGGCUACAGAAAUGGGCUUUACAAAGUGGGUAUUAGACUGACAGGUUCGAAAGUACCAGGGGAGCCCUGGAUCACUGCACACCCUUGUGCCACACAGUGGUGUCAAGGUCAGUAACCGUGGGGAGACCAAGCAUCCCCUGCUACCUCAGCAUGACAGUAGGGGAAGGAGCUUUGCCCAGAAAGAGGACAAAGGAAGUUUCUCUUUCACCAAGACAUCACAAAAUGUCCUCUGUGUUAGCAAAAGAGACCAAAAACAUCCUUGGAGAAUAAGUGAC